GCAGACACAUUCCAGCCAAUCAGCAGCAGACCCUCCCUCCCAGAUCCUCCCACCUCCUGGACAGCUCACUAAGAAUGCAGCUUCACAAUGAAUGUAAAAUGGAUGCUGUCCAGGAGUUGGGAGGGUCUGGGAGGGAGGGUCUGCUGCUGAUUGGCUGGAAUGUGUCUG